rnacentral:rRNA from 1 species
UACGUAGGGUACAAGCGUUGUCCGGAAUUAUUGGGCGUAAAGAGCUCGUAGGUGGUCUGUCACGUCUGCUGUGGAAACGCAAGGCUCAACCUUGCGCGUGCAGUGGGUACGGGCGGACUAGAGUGCAGUAGGGGAGUCUGGAAUUCCUGGUGUAGCGGUGAAAUGCGCAGAUAUCAGGAGGAACACCGGUGGCGAAGGCGGGACUCUGGGCUGUAACUGACGCUGGAGGAGCGAAAGCAUGGGGAGCGAACAGG